rnacentral:rRNA from 1 species
UACAGAGGUCCCAAGCGUUGUUCGGAUUCACUGGGCGUAAAGGGUGCGUAGGUGGCGCCGUAAGUCGGGUGUGAAAUUUCGGAGCUUAACUCCGAAACUGCAUUCGAUACUGCGGUGCUUGAGGACUGGAGAGGAGACUGGAAUUCAUGGUGUAGCAGUGAAAUGCGUAGAGAUCAUGAGGAAGACCAGUGGCGAAGGCGGGUCUCUGGACAGUUCCUGACACUGAGGCACGAAGGCCAGGGGAGCAAACGGG